GCCAGGCAUGGUGGCACAUGCCUGUAAUCCCAGCUACUUGGGAGGCUGAGGCAGGAGAAUUGCUUGAACCUGGGAGGUGGAGGUUGUAGUGAGCUGAGAUCGUGCCACUGCACUCCAGCCUAGGUGACAGAGCAAGACUCUGUCUCAA
rfam:Pan troglodytes isolate Yerkes chimp pedigree #C0471 (Clint) chromosome 13, whole genome shotgun sequence.